rnacentral:rRNA from 1 species
AUUGAACGCUGGCGGCAGGCCUAACACAUGCAAGUCGAGCGGAUGAGGGGUGCUUGCACCCCGAUUCAGCGGCGGACGGGUGAGUAAUGCCUAGGAAUCUGCCCGAUAGUGGGGGACAACGUUUCGAAAGGAACGCUAAUACCGCAUACGUCCUACGGGAGAAAGUGGGGGCUCUUCGGACCUCACGCUAUCGGAUGAGCCUAGGUCGGAUUAGCUGGUUGGUGGGGUAAAGGCCCACCAAGGCGACGAUCCGUAGCUGGUCUGAGAGGAUGAUCAGCCACACUGGAACUGAGACACGGUCCAGACUCCUACGGGAGGCAGCAGUGGGGAAUAUUGGACAAUGGGCGAAAGCCUGAUCCAGCCAUGCCGCGUGUGUGAAGAAGGUCUUCGGAUUGUAAAGCACUUUAAGUUGGGAGGAAGGGUUGUAAGCUAAUAUCUUGCAGCUUUGACGUUACCAACAGAAUAAGCACCGGCUAACUCUGUGCCAGCAGCCGCCGUAA